rnacentral:lncRNA from 1 species
CUUGAGAUAAUCAGGCAUGGAAGUGUGAUUGUACCAGAGGCACUGUGACACCUUAGCCCUGAACACAAAUGUGGAAAUUGAAGUGGGGAGACGAGAGAUGAUCAGCCUAGGAGCCUCUGGAGGUGACCAUGGGGAUGAGGGGUCUUCAACCCAUAGGGAGGAGCUCUCAGUGGUCUUGACUGCCCCAAAUAAGACAGACUAUGGUUAGGAAGGCAGCUUGAGGUCACACCCAGGACCCAUCUGGACACUGCUCUGAGAUUCUGGGCGGGUACUGGGUCUCUGGGAGGAGGGUCCUGAUGCCUAUCCCAUAGUGGCUGCAGGUGGAGGUCAAAUUAGCUUCUCCUUUCUAGCAGGCUGGUGGGUUGGCGGCUCCGAUUACCAUCCUGGGGCCAACCCUUGGGCUAGAAUUAGCAUAGACUCAGUAUGGGUGCCCCUUGUCGCAUCUGGUUUCCAGCGCUAGCGGAGUCUGGUGACCCCAGCCGCCAAGCGUUCUACCGGUUGCCAGGCUAGGGGCUCCGGAAGGACCAGGACUUGCGAUGGGGACUCAGGGGUGCGGGGCAGCGCUCAGAGGCCAACUUGAG